CAGCCGCCACGGUAAAACGUAGGUGGCAAGCGUUGUCUGGAAUUAUUGGGCGUAAAGGGCUCGCAGGCGGUUUCUUAAGUCUGAUGUGAAAGCCCCCGGCUCAACCGGGGAGGGUCAUUGGAAACUGGGAAACUUGAGUGCAGAAGAGGAGAGUGGAAUUCCACGUGUAGCGGUAAAAUGCGUAGAGAUGUGGAGGAACACCAGUGGCGAAGGCGACUCUCUGGUCUGUAACUGACGCUGAGGAGCGAAAGCGUGGGGAGCGAACAGGAUUAGAUACCCCCGUAGUCCCUGUCUCUUAUAA
rnacentral:rRNA from 1 species